AGCGAACGCUGGCGGCAGGCCUAACACAUGCAAGUCGAACGGAUCCUUCGGGAUUAGUGGCGGACGGGUGAGUAACACGUGGGAACGUGCCCUUUGGUUCGGAACAACUCAGGGAAACUUGAGCUAAUACUGGAUGUGCCCUUCGGGGGAAAGAUUUAUCGCCAUUGGAGCGGCCCGCGUCUGAUUAGCUAGUUGGUGAGGUAACGGCCCACCAAGGCGACGAUCAGUAGCUGGUCUGAGAGGAUGAUCAGCCACACUGGGACUGAGACACGGCCCAGACUCCUACGGGAGGCAGCAGUGGGGAAUCUUGCGCAAUGGGCGAAAGCCUGACGCAGCCAUGCCGCGUGAAUGAUGAAGGUCUUAGGAUUGUAAAAUUCUUUCAGCGGGGACGAUAAUGACGGUACCCGCAGAAGAAGCUCCGGCUAACUUCGUG
rnacentral:rRNA from 1 species